rnacentral:rRNA from 2 species
ACAGAUGCUAAUACCGCGUAACAACGUGUGGACCGCAUGGUCCGAGCUUGGAAGAUGGCUUCGGCUAUCACUUUUGGAUGGUCCCGCGGCGUAUUAGCUAGAUGGUGGGGUAACGGCUCACCAUGGCAAUGAUACGUAGCCGACCUGAGAGGGUAAUCGGCCACAUUGGGACUGAGACACGGCCCAAACUCCUACGGGAGGCAGCAGUAGGGAAUCUUCCACAAUGGACGAAAGUCUGAUGGAGCAACGCCGCGUGAGUGAAGAAGGGUUUCGGCUCGUAAAACUCUGUUGUUAAAGAAGAACAUAUCUGAGAGUAACUGUUCAGGUAUUGACGGUAUUUAACCAGAAAGCCACGGCUAACUACGUGCCAGCAGCCGCGGUAAUACGUAGGUGGCAAGCGUUGUCCGGAUUUAUUGGGCGUAAAGCGAGCGCAGGCGGUUUUUUAAGUCUGAUGUGAAAGCCUUCGGCUCAACCGAAGAAGUGCAUCGGAAACUGGGAAACUUGAGUGCAGAAGAGGACAGUGG